rnacentral:rRNA from 1 species
AACCGGAUUAGAUACCCUGGUAGUCCAUGCCGUAAACGAUGAGUGCUAAGUGUUGGAGGGUUUCCGCCCUUCAGUGCUGCAGCUAACGCAUUAAGCACUCCGCCUGGGGAGUACGACCGCAAGGUUGAAACUCAAAGGAAUUGACGGGGGCCCGCACAAGCGGUGGAGCAUGUGGUUUAAUUCGAUGCUACGCGAAGAACCUUACCAGGUCUUGACAUCUUCUGCCAACCUAAGAGAUUAGGCGUUCCCUUCGGGGACAGAAUGACAGGUGGUGCAUGGUUGUCGUCAGCUCGUGUCGUGAGAUGUUGGGUUAAGUCCCGCAACGAGCGCAACCCUUAUUGUUAGUUGCCAGCAUUCAGUUGGGCACUCUAGCAAGACUGCCGGUGACAAACCGGAGGAAGGUGGGGAUGACGUCAAAUCAUCAUGCCCCUUAUGACCUGGGCUACACACGUGCUACAAUGGACGGUACAACGAGUCGCGAAACCGCGAGGUCAAGCUAAUCUCUUAAAGCCGUUCUCAGUUCGGAUUGUAGGCUGCAACUCGCCUACAUGAAGUUGGAAUCGCUAGUAAUCGUGGAUCAGCAUGCCACGGUGAAUACGUUCCCGGGCCUUGUACACACCGCCCGUCACACCAUGAGAGUUUGUAACACCCAAAGCCGGUGAGGUAACCUUCGGGGACCAGCCGUCUAAGGUGGGACAGAUGAUUAGGGUGAAGUCGUAACAAGGUAACC